GAAGCAGAAAAACAAAGUUCAUUAAGACCCGUGGGAUUGCUUGUAAUAAAGAUUUAAAUGCAAAAGGGACGAGAGUCGAAUGUUUCUGUCAGUGGUGUGUUUUAAUUUUAAAUAUUUGCGAUAUCCUAACAAGAUAAUUGGGCUAAAUGUUAUUCUCUGGUGUGUAUCCUGUUGCAUUCAGUGCUUUCUUCCGGCAACAGCGUUUCACACGAGAUUCACGCGAGAUUCUUAGCGGUCAACUAACAUUAUGGUUCACCCGGAAUGCAUUGCAACACACCGUCGGCGAGAGACUCAUGGUUAGGUCGGCUUUAAAUACCAUACAGAAUCCGUUCUACUCUAACGAUCGUGGCAUGAUGAUUAAGACUUGUAUGCAAUGACAUGAUAUGUGUUGCUGGUUAUGAUGACUGACGUGACUUGUAUGCAUUGACUUGACUUGUGUCGCUGGUGCAGAGUAGUAGUAUAAAGUUUGAGUGAAUGCGAGUUUUUCAAUGAGAUGUUCUAUUACAGUAUACGUGGUUUACUUUAAUUGGAGCUGGCUGGGCAUUGAACUGGGCUUAACUGAUUGACAAAACUUUUUUUUUUAAAUGACCUGUAUGACCUUUAUAACUGGUGCUGGUUAGUCAUUGAACUGGGUUUCAUGGACUGGCUUUAAGUUUUUUUUCUUUUUGAGCACGUUCGAAUCCCAGGACAUAACGCACUCAUAAUAGGCUCGAGAUAUAAUUCCAAAGGGGACAGAUAGGCUUGGCUACAGCACUUAAAGCUUAAAAAGAUUGAAAUUGCAAUCAGUGACUCGCAUCGGGUGAACAAAGCUUUUCGAAGUUGAAUAGGCUAUUAAAAACAAUUUGCGCACCUCCAUGGAGGGACUAUAGUGGGCUCGCCCUUCUAUGAAUUGAAAAAGACACUGAUUUGCCAUAUCCUGACUCAGAAAAAAAAAAACAUUUUAUUGCUUACUUUGCCGCAAACUCAGCAAUGAAAUCAUAGGCCAGCUUGCAGGUAGCCUAAAGUCUUUUUCAAUAGAAGGGCGAUCCCACUAUAGUCUCUCCAUGGAGCCUAUUAUGAGAUCCAGUGCAUUAUGUCCUGGGAUUCGGACGUGCUCAAAAAGAAAAAAAAACUUAAAGCCAAUCCAUGAAGCCCAUGUUCAAUGACUAACCAGCACCAGUUAUAAAGGUCAUACAUUCCAUUAAGCCCAGUUCAAUGCCCAGCCAGCUGCAAUUAAAGUCAACCACGUAUACUGUUGUAUAGAACAUUUCACUGAGAAACUCACAUUCACUCAAACUUUAUACUACUACUCUGCACCAGCGACACAAGUCAAGUCACGUCUUUUUUGACAAACGCUCCCAAAACUCCUCCGGUGGCCCCUUAAAUAAAUAACGAACAGUCCCUUAAUGAUAUCAACAAUAAGGCCCGAUGCGUUUAAGGGGACAGCAUAAAUGCGCUUAUUUUACUGACCAUCAUAGGCAGACUUUGAUUUCGAGUGAACUAGCAGUGCCCUGGCCACAACUAAGGGGACCGGGUACUACCGAGCCAAUUCAAACCAUGUUCUGUAUAUAGGCCUAGGCUAUCUGUGCAUAUACGUGUGCAAAUUCCGAGACUGCCGACAGUUCGGGUCAGGUGAAAGUUACUGCCAUCAAUGUAGACUAUGCAUUGCCUAAAACUCGGUCACAACCUGCGUGUUAGGCUAUAUCAGGCUUUAUUAUAUUAUGCUGCUGUACUUUCAGAGACCCCCACAGAUAUUUGAGUUUUCUGCUUUCAUGUGAGCCAGACCUCUCUCUAUGGGAGCUCAGCUCCCACUGGCUCCCAUCUAACUCGAACCCUGUGUAGUAGGGAGAUGAGUGAAGUAGCCUACUUUUACUCGCUAGGAAGUACGACGAUAAACGACAUAUACCGUGGGCUAACUUUACAAAAGAGGAUGACAAUCGAUCCUUC
ensembl:lncRNA